rnacentral:rRNA from 1 species
ACAGUCGAGCGAUGGAUUAAGAGCUUGCUCUUAUGAAGUUAGCGGCGGACGGGUGAGUAACACGUGGGUAACCUGCCCAUAAGACUGGGAUAACUCCGGGAAACCGGGGCUAAUACCGGAUAACAUUUUGAACCGCAUGGUUCGAAAUUGAAAGGCGGCUUCGGCUGUCACUUAUGGAUGGACCCGCGUCGCAUUAGCUAGUUGGUGAGGUAACGGCUCACCAAGGCAACGAUGCGUAGCCGACCUGAGAGGGUGAUCGGCCACACUGGGACUGAGACACGGCCCAGACUCCUACGGGAGGCAGCAGUAGGGAAUCUUCCGCAAUGGACGAAAGUCUGACGGAGCAACGCCGCGUGAGUGAUGAAGGCUUUCGGGUCGUAAAACUCUGUUGUUAGGGAAGAACAAGUGCUAGUUGAAUAAGCUGGCACCUUGACGGUACCUAACCAGAAAGCCACGGCUAACUACGUGCCAGCAGCCGCGGUAAUACGUAGGUGGCAAGCGUUAUCCGGAAUUAUUGGGCGUAAAGCGCGCGCAGGUGGUUUCUUAAGUCUGAUGUGAAAGCCCACGGCUCAACCGUGGAGGGUCAUUGGAAAACUGGGAGACUUGAGUGCAGAGAGGAAGUGGAAUUUCCAUGUGUAGCGGUGAAAUGCGUAGAGAUA